rnacentral:rRNA from 1 species
ACGAACGCUGGCGGCAGGCUUAACACAUGCAAGUCGAGCGGGGCCCUUCGGGGUUCAGCGGCGGACGGGUUAGUAACGCGUGGGAACGUGCCUUUUGCUUCGGAAUAGCCCUGGGAAACUGGGGGUAAUACCGGAUGUGCCCUGAGGGGGAAAGAUUUAUCGGCAAGAGAUCGGCCCGCGUCUGAUUAGGUAGUUGGUGGGGUAAUGGCCCACCAAGCCGACGAUCGGUAGCUGGUUUGAGAGGAUGAUCAGCAACACUGGGACUGAGACACGGCCCAGACUCCUACGGGAGGCAGCAGUGGGGAAUCUUAGACAAUGGGCGCAAGCCUGAUCUAGCCAUGCCGCGUGGGUGAUGAAGGCCUUAGGGUCGUAAAGCCCUUUCGCCGGGGAAGAUAAUGACGGUACCCGGUAAAGAAACCCCGGCUAACUCCGU